rnacentral:rRNA from 1 species
AUUGAACGCUGGCGGCAUGCCUUACACAUGCAAGUCGAACGGCAGCACGGGUGCUUGCCCCUGGUGGCGAGUGGCGAACGGGUGAGUAAUACAUCGGAACAUGUCCUGUAGUGGGGGAUAGCCCGGCGAAAGCCAGAUUAAUACCGCAUACGAUCUACGGAUGAAAGCGGGGGACCUUCGGGCCUCGCGCUAUAGGGUUGGCCGAUGGCUGAUUAGCUAGUUGGUGGGGUAAAGGCCUACCAAGGCGACGAUCAGUAGCUGGUCUGAGAGGACGACCAGCCACACUGGGACUGAGACACGGCCCAGACUCCUACGGGAGGCAGCAGUGGGGAAUUUUGGACAAUGGGCGAAAGCCUGAUCCAGCAAUGCCGCGUGUGUGAAGAAGGCCUUCGGGUUGUAAAGCACUUUUGUCCGGAAAGAAAUCCUUGGCCCUAAUACGGUCGGGGGAUGACGGUACCGGAAGAAUAAGCACCGGCUAACUACGUG